GGGCCUUCGGGCUGGGGCUGGGUUCUUGCUGGAGCGCUUGACUGGCCGCUGUGUUCAAAUGAGCAGCCAAGAUUAUAAAAACGUGCAUAAAAUACAUAUUUACACACACACAGAGUCAUCGGGUUGUGCCGCAGCAUGGGCAAGUGAAUGCUCUUCCUUAUAAAGUCUGCAAUCCAUAAGCACUCUGCAGCAAGUCUGGACUAGAUUUGAAAUAUUGCUUCCAGGUACCAUCCCCAUAUCUGCCGAUGUUAGAGAGCUUCACUCAUUCUGAUGGAUAUGCAUAAAUGGAACCAGGAGUGAAUGGUCCAUUUAUUCCAGCCACAAGAGACGAUCCAGAAUAAAAGUUGAGGCUUAAAUUAGUGGCAAGUGAAUUAAAAUUGUAACUUCUGAGAAUGAUUUGUGGCUUCUGAAACUGUAAAAAGAUGAAAUAAUACAGUGAUUUAUAUUGGCUUACAAUGCCUUUGUCAGUUGCAGAAAAGGAUCAGUAAUCAAAGUGAUGAUUUCUAUGAGGAACUAAUGCCAAACUAAGAACUCCAAACUAUACAGUAAUAAAGCUACUAGGAGCCCAUAUAGAAUUCAGCAACUCCUGGGAAACAAUUACAUCAGUUUGGAGCUAUUACACAAAGCUACAAAACUUUUGGGUUUGCUGCAAUAAAAUAUGACUGAAAACAAAGUUUGGUUUCCUUUCUCCAGUGUUCUAGUCACAAAGCCAUGUGCUGCGUUCAAAUGAAACUGCCACUGGUUUGCUAAAAAUCUGCCCCAU